rnacentral:lncRNA from 1 species
GACAGUGGAUGGUACGUAAUGCUCUUCCUGUUUCCCUCUCUUUCCCCUACUGGCCUCUUUCUAAAUUCCUUUAGUAGAGGUGGUAAACUACAAAUGCAUGGUAUUGUGUUUUUUUAUUAGUUGAAAUAGUGUUUUUUCUAUUUUUUCCUUUCAGUUUAUAUAAGAGGUAAUUCUGCUGCUGCUGCUGCUGCUGCUGGUGGUCGGCUUCAAGCUUUGCUCAUAUGCAGCUGGUGGCAAAGAAAGACAGAAGAAAUGACUUAAAGCACAAAGAAAGCAUAAUUAGGUUAACAAGAGGCCCAGGGAAAAAAGCUUUUCAGGAACUAGUUAUGGAAAGAGUUACUAUUAAAGAAACAAGUGAUGAUCGGGAUGCCACCGGGACCACUGAAUUGCUUUCUAAAGAUUAAAUCAAAUUGCAAGUAAAAAAGAGAAUACUCCAUAUAAUACAUGAAGAAAUUCAUCAUUUGGAAGCAGAAUCCCUGCUAGACCUUUUUGGUCCUUCGAUUCCUCAGGUAUGCAAUGGAUCUACACAUGCAAAGACAUUUUCUCAAUAUAUAGAGUGCUGCUUAUGAGCUAUUUAGCUACUUCUCAUAUAGAGUCUGUUCAUAGCAUCUUAUCUAUAGCUCAUAACAUAGGCCUUAGAGAAUUGAAUUGCUGUUAUGAGAGAAAGCAUCUUAUCUCGGCUUAAGUAUCAACCCAGUUCAUGAAGAGCAUCUGGGAGAGAAUGGAGGAAAUUAUUUUAAUUUCUUCAUUCCCGGCCUAGUAAAGAGCCAUACAAGGGGAAUGGGCUAUUUAUGAGUAAUACAGAAGUAAAAAGAUAAAAUCUUUUUUAAGAUUUUAUUUAUUUAUUCAUGAGACACACACACACACACAGAGACAGAGACACAGGCAGAGGGAGAAGCAGGCUCCAUGCAGGGAGCCCGACGUGGGACUUGAUCCCAGGUCUCCAGGAUCAGGCCCUGGCCUGAAGGCAGGCGCUAAACCACUGAGCCACCUGGGCUGUUCAGAAGCAAAAUACAGGUUCUUGAGUCAGACAGACUUAGCCAUGAUGAAUGACUUUAGAGAAAUCUCUAAAAUUAUCUGAGCUUCUCAGGUCUUCAUCUAUAAAAUAUAGACAAUGUUAGUGUACAACUUACAGGAUUCUGUGAACAUCACUUUCUCUUAUUUGCUUGGUUCUUAUAAUAUUUUCCUCCAAAUAAGUUGCCAUAUUCACAUCAGAAUGUUUUAGGUUGAGUUCCCAGAGAAAGACUCUGAGAUGUAUUUCUGAGCAGGAACUUGACUGACGCAUGCUUUCUCACUCAGAACAACACCUGAAGACAGGAAUAGGCAGAGGGAAAAGCUGACCUGUGAUGCAAUUGCAUUAAAGGUCUCAAGUGACCUCAUAGGCAGAUCUGGAACAGGGGUGGCCAUUCUGUGGAACAUUCUGAAUUGUUCCAAAUUGAAGCAGGGCCAGGACCUUGCACCCCUGCCCUGAGCAGGCAUUGGAUAAGGGCUGCCCUAGGGAGGGAACAUGAACUUGGAUUAGGAGGCUCCCCUUGACUGAAGGUAGUUCCCAGAGGACUUAGUUUUGAGGUGUCAGCAUCCAAGACUCCUGGAGCUGAUGAAAAACCAUUGCCUCAGUCAUGAAGGGAAAAUUUGAAUUUUCUAUUCUUCACACAUAUGUUGCUUAGAACCUUUUGCUUCUUUUUUUUUUUUUUUUUUUAGAACCUUUUGCUUCUUAAAGUAAAUUUACCCCUUUUAUGAAUAGAUCCUCCAGGAUUGUGAUUUUUUAAAUCAUUUCCUGGGAAACUUACAAGACAAAAGUUAGUGAGAAGAAACUGUACCCCCUACCACUAUUGCUGAUCUCAGGGAUGCAACUGAUACUCAUCAUCUCCCUCUUCUACUAUCCCUGAGAAGUCUAAGCUCUGGGUCAUCAUGCUUUUCUAGGGAUGUAGCUACUGCUGCUUUUGUCCAUUUACCAUCAAAAUUUUUCCAGUAAGUACCAAGAGACAGUCAAGUGCCAACUGUAUUCUUAUUUCCAUGUGUAAGAACAGCUACUUCCCAGUGAUGGGCAGGGCCAUUUACCCCUGUCAGUGUGGUGAGCCCUUUCUUUGGCUCUCAUAGCUUUGUGUAUGAAUCCUGGAAUGGUUG